AUUGAUUGAAUGACGGUAGAUUCCUGUAUGAGUGAGGGGAAUCCUGUGAAAACCAGGAGCGGACCCGCCGCUGUAACUGGUAUUUUUUUGUUCAAAACCGUGAUGUAAAAUAACUGCCGGUUGUUUUAGGGGCGGCUUAAAGAUUUAAAAUUAUACCGGAAGCCAGAAGACCUGUCUGAAACAAGUGACCUGG
rnacentral:ncRNA from 2 species